rnacentral:rRNA from 1 species
CGUGUAGGCGGCUUUGCAAGUCAGAGGUGAAAUGUCUCGGCUCAACCGAGGACCUGCCUUUGAAACUACAGAGCUUGAGGCCGUGAGAGGAGACUGGAAUUCCUAGUGUAGCGGUGAAAUGCAUAGAUAUUAGGAAGAACACCAGUGGCGAAGGCGAGUCUCUGGCACGGUUCUGACGCUGAGGCGCGAAAGCCAGGGGAGCGAAC